rnacentral:rRNA from 1 species
GCCAUGCCGUGUGCAGGAUGAAGAUCCUCAGGAUUGUAAACUGCUUUUGUAUGGGAAUAAAAAGCCCUUGCGAGGGCUACUGAAGGUACCAUAAGAAUAAGCACCGGCUAACUCCGUGCCAGCAGCCGCGGUA